AUUGAACGCUGGCGGCAGGCCUAACACAUGCAAGUCGAGCGGCAGCGGGAAGUAGCUUGCUACUUUGCCGGCGAGCGGCGGACGGGUGAGUAAUGCCUGGGGAUCUGCCCAAUCGAGGGGGAUAACUACUGGAAACGGUAGCUAAUACCGCAUACGCCCCACGGGGGAAAGCAGGGGACCUUUUGGUCUUGCGCGAUUGGAUGAACCCGGGUGGGAUUAGCUUGUUGGUGAGGUAACGGCUCACCAAGGCGACGAUCCCUAGCUGGUCUGAGAGGAUGAUCAGCCACACUGGAACUGAGACACGGUCCAGACUCCUACGGGAGGCAGCAGUGGGGAAUAUUGCACAAUGGGGGAAACCCUGAUGCAGCCAUGCCGCGUGUGUGAAGAAGGCCUUCGGGUUGUAAAGCACUUUCAGCGAGGAGGAAGGGGAGUGAGCUAAUACCUUACUUCAUUGACGUUACUCGCAGAAGAAGCACCGGCUAACUCCGUGCCAGCCGCCGCAGUAA
rnacentral:rRNA from 1 species